AUAUUAGAGUUGUUGCGGUUAAAAAGCUCGUAGUUGGAUUUCUGUCGAGAACUGGCGGUCUACACUUUGUGUAAGUAUCUGCUUAGGUCUUGGCAUCCUCCUGGGGAACGUUUCUGCGCUUGAUUGCGUGGAGCGGAAUUCAGGACUUUUACUUUGAGGAAAUUAGAGUGUUCACGGCAGGCAAACGCCUUGAAUAUAUUAGCAUGGAAUAAUAAUAUAGGACCUUUGUUCUAUUUUGUUGGUUUCUAGAGCGAAGGUAAUGAUUAAUAGGGAUAAUUGGGGGCAUUCGUAUUAACGCGUCAGAGGUGGAAUUCUUGGAUUGCGUUACGACGAACUACUGCGAAAGCAUUUGCCAAGGAUGUUUUCAUUGAUCAAGAACGAAAGUUAGGGGAUCGAAGACGCUUAGAUACCGUCGUAGUCUUAACCAUAAACUAUGCCGACUAGAGAUUGGAGGUCGUUCUUUUUAUGACUCCUUCAGCACCUUAUGAGAAAUCAAAGUCUUUGGGUUCCGGGGGGAGUAUGGUCGCAAGGCUGAAACUUAA
rnacentral:rRNA from 1 species